UUAAUUGAAGAGUUUGAUCAUGGCUCAGAUUGAACGCUGGCGGCAGGCCUAACACAUGCAAGUCGAGCGGUAACAGAGAGUAGCUUGCUACUUUGCUGACGAGCGGCGGACGGGUG
rnacentral:rRNA from 4 species